rnacentral:rRNA from 1 species
GACAGAGGGUGCAAACGUUGCUCGGAAUUACUGGGCGUAAAGCGCGUGUAGGUGGAUUGGUGUGUCAGAUGUGAAAGCCCUGGGCUCAACCCAGGAACUGCACCUGAAACUACCAGUCUUGAGUGGUGGAGAGGGAAGUGGAAUUCCUGGUGUAGAGGUGAAAUUCGUAGAUAUCAGGAGGAACACCCGUGGCGAAGGCGGCUCUCUGGGACGGUACUGACGCUGAGACGCGAAAGCGUGGGGAGCGAACAGG